rnacentral:rRNA from 1 species
UACGAAGGGAGCUAGCGUUGUUCGGAAUUACUGGGCGUAAAGGGCGCGUAGGCGGUUAUGUAAGUCAGAUGUGAAAUCCCCGGGCUUAACCUGGGAACUGCAUUUGAGACUGCAUAGCUAGAGGAUGAGAGAGGAAAGUGGAAUUGCGAGUGUAGAGGUGAAAUUCGUAGAUAUUCGCAAGAACACCAGUGGCGAAGGCGGCUUUCUGGCUCAUUACUGACGCUAAGGCGCGAAAGCGUGGGGAGCAAACAGG